CCUUGGAUAGCUCAGUUGGUAGAGCGGGGGACUGUAGAUCCCUAGGUCACUGGUUCAAAUCCGGUUCGAAGGA
rnacentral:tRNA from 1 species